rnacentral:rRNA from 1 species
GAUGAACGCUGGCGGCGUGCCUAACACAUGCAAGUCGAACGGAGUUGUCACCAUGAAGUUUUCGGAUGGAUUGGUAACAACUUAGUGGCGGACGGGUGAGUAACGCGUGGGUAACCUGCCUCAUACUGGGGGAUAACAGCUGGAAACGGCUGCUAAAACCGCAUAAGAUCGCAUCACCGCAUGGUGAAGCGGUUAAAUAUCGAAAGAUAGGUAUGAGAUGGGCCCGCGUCCCAUCAGCUAGUUGGUGAGGUAACAGCUCACCAAGGCGACGACGGGUAGCCGGCCUGAGAGGGUGACCGGCCACACUGGGACUGAGAUACGGCCCAGACUCCUACGGGAGGCAGCAGCUAAGAAUAUUCCGCAAUGGACGAAAGUCUGACGGAGCGACGCCGCGUGGAUGAAGAAGGCCGAAAGGUUGUAAAGUUCUUUUGCUAGGGGAGAAUAAGUGAGGGAGGGAAUGCCCUCAUGAUGACAAGGACUAGCGAAUAAGCCCCGGCCAACUACG